AGUUUGGAUAUAAAGAUCUCUACAGAAUCUGACUGUUUUUUGACACAGGAAGAUCAUUCCACAAAACCGGUGCACAAUAAGAGAAGGUUCUGUGGCCCAAAGACUUUUUAUUCAACUUAGGGACAGAAAGUAG